CUAACUCCCAGUGUGAAGGCAAGCCCCGGAGCAUGAUUUCCUAUCUUUAAAUACUUGCAAUACAAUUGAUUGCUUUGACUGCGCAUUUACGUUCCAGGAGUUGAUUGAAACCGUAGAUGCAUGAACUUAGUACCCUUGAUAUGAACACUAGUAUAUUAAGUCGAGUAGUUGUAAUGCUUAAUAGGACUCGGUAAAAGUCGAGUGAUUGUCUGUCACUCGCGAGUUAUAGGA
rnacentral:lncRNA from 1 species